GACGAACGCUGGCGGCGUGCUUAACACAUGCAAGUCGAACGGGAUUUCGUAAACAGAAACCUCGGUGGAAGAUUCCUAAUGAGAGUGGCGAACGGGUGAGUAACGCGUGAGCAACCUGACUAUGACAGUGGGAUAGCCCCGGGAAACCGGGAUUAAUACCGCAUCAAAUCGUAGAAACACAUGUUUUAACGGUCAAAGAUUUAUCGGUCAUAGAUGGGCUCGCGUCUGAUUAGCUGGUUGGUGAGAUAACAGCCCGCCAAGGCGACGAUCAGUAGCCGGUAUGGGAGGAGGAACGGCCACAUUGGAACUGAGGCACGGUCCAAACUCGGACGGGAGGCAGCAGUGGGGAAUAUUGCAGAAUGGAGGAAACCCUGAUGAAGCGACGCCGCGUAAACGAAGAAGGUAUUCGUAUCGUAAAGUUCUGUGCGAUGGGAAGAGAAUGACAGUACCAUAGAAGAAAGCACCGGCUAAAUACGUG
rnacentral:rRNA from 1 species